CCUACGGGUGGCAGCAGUGAGGAAUAUUGGUCAAUGGACGAGAGUCUGAACCAGCCAAGUAGCGUGAAGGAUGACUGCCCUAUGGGUUGUAAACUUCUUUUAUAUGGGAAUAAAAUGUUCCACGUGUGGGAUUUUGUAUGUACCAUAUGAAUAAGGAUCGGCUAACUCCGUGCCAGCAGCCGCGGUAAUACGGAGGAUCCGAGCGUUAUCCGGAUUUAUUGGGUUUAAAGGGAGCGUAGGUGGAUUGUUAAGUCAGUUGUGAAAGUUUGCGGCUCAACCGUAAAAUUGCAGUUGAAACUGGCAGUCUUGAGGACAGUAGAGGUUGGCGGAAUUCGUGGUGUAGCGGUGAAAUGCUUAGAUAUCACGAAGAACUCCGAUUGCGAAGGCAGUUCACUGGACUGCAACUGACACUGAGGCUCGAAAGUGUGGGUAUCAAACAGGAUUAGAUACCCUUGUAGUC
rnacentral:rRNA from 1 species